UGGGGAAUAUUGCACAAUGGGCGCAAGCCUGAUGCAGCCAUGCCGCGUGUAUGAAGAAGGCCUUCGGGUUGUAAAGUACUUUCAGUCGGGAGGAAGGUGGUAAGGUUAAUAACCUUGGCAAUUGACGUUACCGACAGAAGAAGCACCGGCUAACUCCGUGCCAGCAGCUGCGGUAAUACGGAGGGUGCAAGCGUUAAUCGGAAUUAUUGGGCGUAAAGCGCACGCAGGCGGUUGAUUGAGUCAGAUGUGAAAUCCCCGGGCUUAACCCGGGAAUUGCAUCUGAUACUGGUCAGCUAGAGUCUUGUAGAGGGGGGUAGAAUUCCAUGUGUAGCGAUGAAAUGCGUAGAGAUGUGGAGGAAUACCGGUGGCGAAGGCGGCCCCCUGGACAAAGACUGACGCUCAGGUGCGAAAGCGUGGGGAGCAAACAGG
rnacentral:rRNA from 1 species